rnacentral:lncRNA from 1 species
AGAAAACGCGGAGCUCAACACUGCCAAGAGGAACAAGUCUGGGAAAUUACGACAUGAGGGCCCUUGUGAAUUGAUGAAUAUGAAGACACUAAGAAAGCAGAAAUAGAACUGAGAAGAAUGAAAUAACUGUCUCUACCUUUCUCGAAUUGUCUAAUAUGGAAAGAAUGAAAGACAGCUAAUAAGCAACUCUCUGCAAGAAGACAUAUGGCUUAGGUUCUGCUGAGCUAUUGGUGAUUUGAUUCCAUGCAUAUGUAUUCACUACUGGUAUAAGUAUAUACAAUAUAUGUGUUUCUGCAAAGAAUCGUAGACUUGAUGCAUUUUUUAAUAUUUCUUAAGGACUUACUACUGAGUGUCAGUAUGAGAGGAUCGUUUACUUCCUUUUCCCAUUAAUUUUGAUAGCCUGGAUUGAGCAACUUUCUUACCUAGUUUUGUUUUAUGAGGUGCAUUAGCUUUUUCUUUGUGUGUAUGUUUGUGUGUGUGUAGCUUUAUUAACCAUAUUGUUUGGGCUUUUGAUAAAGCAGAGAUUCUGAUAUGGUAUACAUUUUGAACUAAGCAUUCAUUUAUUCAGCAGGGAUGUAUGUUUAAGACACUGUGUUAGCCAAGGGUGAGAAGGCGUGUGGAAUGGUAGAGGAGCAAGGUGAGGUAAGAUGAUUAAAAGACACCAGCUGAGAGUGUUAUUUUAUAUGGCAGAAGGAUGUUUGCAGAUGCAAUUAAGUUAAGGACCUUGAGAUGGGGUAUGUUAUCCUGGUAGGCCCAAUGUAUACAUCAGGGUCCUUAUGAAAGGGAGGCAGGAGAACAGAAUGAGUAGUGAGAAGAGUGAAUGGACAAUACUGAGGACAUGCUUAGGGACCCAAAGAAGCUUGCUAUGGUAGGGCUUGGUGGACUCUGUACUGAUGAGAAAGGCUAGGCCAUGCUAUGGAAGCAAAUAAAUCUGUUGUAAAGUGACAGAGUUUCUCUCUUGCUCAUGCAAAGUCUGCUAAAUGGCUGAGUGAUUCUCAAGGGCAUCCCUCACUCAUGUGAUGGCUCUGCUGUGUGUGCAUCCCUGCUAGCCAGGCAGGUCAGGAGAAUGUUAGAAAUGAAACACUUCCUUCUGGUGGCCAAAAGAAGUCACAUGGCUACAUCUGUUAAUAAUUCGAAGGUUGUAGACAGUAUAAUAUUCCCUUGUCCUAAAAGAGGGAAGCUAGAAAUAUUGGUAAGCAGCACAUAUAUCUUCCCCAUGAUCCCAACUUUGUUGGGUAGAGAAGCAUUUUAAAUAACUUUGGAAUUUACAUAUAUUCCUCAAAUAUCUAGUGGUAACUCCAUGUCUAAAUCCAGGGUACCCACUUUCUUCCCUAAACAUGUUUGAAAGUCCUGCAUUCUCUCAGUAUUGUUACAGAGCCACAUUUCAGUUGAAUUGGUAGUGCUGAGAAAAGCGUUAUUUAUUUUAUUUUUAUUUUAGUUUUUUUUAGAGACUGGGUUUUGCUGUGUUGCCCCGGCUGAUCUUGCACUCCUGGUCUCAAGUGCUCCUCCUAUCUCAGCCAUCCGAAUAGCUGGUAUUACAUGUGCACACCAUAAUGAGAAAAGCAUUAUGAUUAACCUAGUAAAUUGAUUUUUAAUACUGCAUUAUUUGAUUUUCAAGGACUUAAAAAACCACUUCCAGAGAGCUAGACACAAUGAAUACAAGCAAGCUAAUAAUGAAAGUGAGAAACCACAUGCUGCUGAAUUGAGUAUGUAGCAACAUUUGUAAAGAAAUGGCAAAUCAUAUCUAAUUAUUUCAUUGUGCUUACCUUUCUUCAGUCAGAAAGCCUUCGGCAUCUAGUGCAUUUCUACAGAUAUUCCGUGGUGAUUUAAUAUCAAUUAAUAUCAACCUGCAGCAAAGUGUUGACAGUGUUUCUAAAUUCACAAGCCCAACAUUUUGCAGUAUUGGGCAUAAGUGAAGGAGCUUUCCAGGUUGCUGCUAAAAGCAACUCAAAAAGAUGCGAAGUAGAUGUGAAACCUUCAUAUUUGGUACUUCUAUAGCAGAUUGUCUUCUCUCCUAGAAGAGAGGCCAGGAGACAGACUAACCCAUUUCUCUAAUCCAUAUGUUGUUCGCUGAGGCUCCCAAAGCUCUGGGAAGUAAUUUACUUGCAGUUCUCUAGAGAUGGAGGCAGGGAGCUUGAGUGUGAGUCCAGUGGAGACUGUCUUUGGAAUUUCAUCUGAUCACAGGGUCACUGUCCAUUUCUCUUCUCAGCAGGCCUAGGAAAACACCAGGACUAACCCCCUGGAGGGAGCCUAGCUUCAGGAUUAAUUAGGGCUUGAUUAAUUAAUUAAGGUAUGAAUCGAGGGCUUAAACAGUAGUUAACUAAGAAAUAUGUAUUUGUUUUACAAAAGUUAAAAUUUAUGGAACAGUAUAUUAAGAAUUGCUUUUAUUUUAUAAUAUAAUGUGUUAAUGUUAAGUUCUUUCCAUACAUUCUUUCGUUUAAAGCACACACAAAAAUGCAGAUGUGGCCAGGUGCAGUGGCUCACGUCUGUAAUCCUAGCACUUUGGGAGGCUGAGGAAGGCGGAUCACCUGAGGUCAGGAGUUCGAGACCAGCCUGGCCAACAUGGUGAAACCCCAUCUCCAUUAAAAAUACAAAAAUUAGCCGGGCAUGGUGGCAUGCACCUGUAAUCCCAGCUACUUGGGAGGCUGAGGCAGGAGAAUCACUUGAACCUAGGAGGGGGAGGUUGCAGUGAGCCAAGAUCGCACCACUGCACUCCAGCCUGGGCGACAGAGCGAGAAUCCAUCUAAAGAAAAAAAUGCAGAUGAAGGGCCUGCCUUGAUUGUCCUGUGAACAGUUUGUGUGCAGUGGGGAGGCUGAAGGUCUGGCCUCCUUUGCUUCUGGUGUCUUCACCGCCACCACUUCUGCCCCUGUGUCUCUAUAUAGUGUAAGGGAUUGGUAUUAAUUAUUUCCCAUUUUACAGAUGAGGAAACUGAAAUCCAGAGAAAUGGAGUGAGUUGGCCAAGUGCACACAGCUCAUUUCUUACCUAGUAUUUACUGUUCACACACUGUAUAGACCCUUUAAUAAGCUAAUCUAAAAGAUUAAUCUAAAAGAUUAGAUACAUUACCUCGUUUCAGUGCCACUAUAGCCUGGCAUUGUACAUAUCACUAUCUUCCUGUCGAAUAGGAAGGUUCUUAAAUUCUGAGACAUUUGGUAACAUGCCUGAGUUAUGUGUAAAAGCUUAGAUUUGAAUUUGAGCCUCCUGACUUGAAUCUUGCGUUUGACCAUACCACAUCUGCACCUAGCUGUUGGAGGAAUCAGAACGCCCAAGACCCAGAUAACUCUAAAUAAGGCCCAGUCUGAGUCGUGCUUCAUGGUUAGGUUCAUAAGUUCAGUGCUGAAAAGGCUGAUUUUUCCUGUUUUUCUAGGGUCUGUUUGCUGGAUUUAAGAUACGCUCUCUCCAGAAAUAUGACAAAACAAUUGUUUUGUUUGCUCAUUUUUUGUUUUGUUUUGUUUUUCGUUCUUACAAGGUAACUAGUAUCCCUAGCACACCAGAAAUAAUUGGCACUGAUGUUCCUGACAAGAGGAGUCUGCUAAAAGUGACCUUUAAAUGCCUUUUGGUGGAGUGAUUAUUUA